CUACGUGCCAGCAGCCGCGGUAAUACGGAGGGUGCGAGCGUUAAUCGGAAUAACUGGGCGUAAAGGGCACGCAGGCGGUGACUUAAGUGAGGUGUGAAAGCCCCGGGCUUAACCUGGGAAUUGCAUUUCAUACUGGGUCGCUAGAGUACUUUAGGGAGGGGUAGAAUUCCACGUGUAGCGGUGAAACGCGUAGAGAUGUGGAGGAAUACCGAAGGCGAAGGCAGCCCCUUGGGAAUGUACUGACGCUCAUGUGCGAAAGCGUGGGGAGCAAACAGGAUUAGAUACCCUGGUAGUCCACGCCCUAAACGAUGUCAAUUAGCUGUUGGGCAACUUGAUUGCUUAGUAGCGUAGCUAACGCGUGAAAUCGACCGCCUGGGGAGUACGGUCGCAAGAUUAAAACUCAAAGGAAUUGACGGGGACCCGCACAAGCGGUGGAUGAUGUGGAUUAAUUCGAUGCAACGCGAAGAACCUUACCUACUCUUGACAUCCAGAGAACAUUC
rnacentral:rRNA from 1 species